GAGUCCCGCUCAGUCUCCGCCUUUCCUCCUUCACUCCUCACAGGCUCUUCUCCAGCACCAAAUACGGUCCACUGAAAGGAAGGCCUCACCCUGGGGAUGGCACCUGUCUCUUCUCGGUUAAACAGGCCUGUCUCCCUCCCUUCCCCCCACCUUCCCUUCUGGUCUUCUGAGAAUGCUGGCUUCCCUAUUCCACAGUCAAGAGCAAGCAAAGCAAGACUCUUUGGUCUCGAGCUGGUGCACUCAUCUCGAAACUAAACCAUGGUCUGCUCCCAGGAGAGCAGGAGCCAUACCUAAGAUCUUCCAUGUGGCGCCGCUGGCUGUAACAGGGGAAGUAAAGAAAGAAUCCCAGCAAAUAUUAAAAAAUGCAGAGGUU